UCUCUGCGUGUGUGUUGUGUGCGUGUUUCCCCGUUUGCAUCCAGAUGCAGCUGCGCGCACAGGAAGCGCGGCGCUGGACGCGGGUUAAACGGUGUCACACUCGGAGGGAAGGGUUAAACGGAGCCACAUGGACACGCACGCGGACCGACAGGCGCGCAUGCGGAGACGGGCGCGCGCUUCCUCCUCACUCUCGCUCCCCCGUGCGUCGAGCGUGCGUUAAUGGUGGGGAGGAGAAACGAGGGAUGAAGAGGAGAUGAGGGAGUUAGAGUCCCGGGGAGCCUCAAUGGGGACCAGCUGCAGGGUACUGGGUGAAGGCCAGGGAACGCUCCGGAUGGAUAGAAGGAGGACGAGAUACCCCCAGGAGAGGAGAAGAAGAAGAAGAAGCUCUGAUUAGAGAAAAGAUACAUAAGAAAGAAGCCAAUGAAUAAACAGGAGGGAGAGACUCCAUGAAUAAACAGUUUGCACGUAGAGGACAGCGGGAGGCUGCGUAAAGUAAAGACAACAUCCAGCUGACAUUUAGACAACUCCAGAGUCAAUAAAGUCCUGGAGCUGGUUGAAGAUGCAGCAGGAUGCAUUAUGUAAGAGGGAGCAGGCAGCGAACAGAAGCAAGGGCACCAGCAGUCCUUCUGCAGCUGCAGCCGCGUCUUCUCCCACUAAGAGGAUCAUGGUUGUCUAAAUAAACACCUGUCAGGGUGCUCCGCCACACACGCGCCUCUUCACUGGCUCUUUAAUCGUCGUCAGUCGCAGCAGGCCUUAAAAAGCUCUUUUUUUUCAUUAGCAACCGCACUGUAAAUGAGAGAGAGUUUUGGUUUAGAACGUGCAGCUGCCACGGCUGUGACCUUCAGGCAGCGAGUGGAGCAAAGCUGCCACCGUGUGCUGCAGGUAUGGAAGUACAUGGAUACGACGGUCAACAUUAACCACAACAGGAUAGUUCACUGGACCGGUUUCCAGCUGGACUCAUUUCAAUUCAAAUGACUAAUUAUGGACAAGACUAUUAACUUGAUAAAUUCACUCUGGUUCACUCUGUUAACUUACAUAUCUGGAUGGUAGACAACAAUUAACCACACUAACGAUGUCUAUGCGCUGUUUCUGAUUCAUUUGAUUUACACAGAAAGCCAGUGCAAAGCUUUUUUCACACAUUUUAGCGCAAACUGAAGUAAAAAGGUAAACACUGGUGCCAUCUAGUGGCGGGUUGUUCGCAGUACAGCUGUGAACUUAUUUUCCAAUAAUUUAUUUUUUAAACUGCUUUUUUUAAACUUCAAAUCAAAAGCAGUAUUUGAUGUCGAUUAUUUUUUGAGCAGUACAUUUGUGUGUGUUAUUAUGCUGCAUUUUUAUGCACAAGUUGAUGUUGCCGUUGGUUUAACCUGCAGGAGAAGAGAGGACGUCUCUCUUAAAUAAUGAGUGAGCUCCAAAGUAUAGGCUUCUUAACAUUGUU